rnacentral:tRNA from 1 species
AAAAAGGUGUUAGAAUGGUUAUAUGAUUGGCUUGAAACCAUUUUAUGUGGGUUCGAGUCCUACUCUUUUUG